UGCAGUCGAGCGAAUCGAUGGGAGCUUGCUCCCUGAGAUUAGCGGCGGACGGGUGAGUAACACGUGGGCAACCUGCCUAUAAGACUGGGAUAACUUCGGGAAACCGGAGCUAAUACCGGAUACGUUCUUUUCUCGCAUGAGAGAAGAUGGAAAGACGGUUUACGCUGUCACUUAUAGAUGGGCCCGCGGCGCAUUAGCUAGUUGGUGAGGUAAUGGCUCACCAAGGCGACGAUGCGUAGCCGACCUGAGAGGGUGAUCGGCCACACUGGGACUGAGACACGGCCCAGACUCCUACGGGAGGCAGCAGUAGGGAAUCUUCCGCAAUGGACGAAAGUCUGACGGAGCAACGCCGCGUGAACGAAGAAGGCCUUCGGGUCGUAAAGUUCUGUUGUUAGGGAAGAACAAGUACCAGAGUAACUGCUGGUACCUUGACGGUACCUAACCAGAAAGCCACGGCUAACUACGUGCCAGCAGCCGCGGUAAUACGUAGGUGGCAAGCGUUGUCCGGAAUUAUUGGGCGUAAAGCGCGCGCAGGUGGUUCCUUAAGUCUGAUGUGAAAGCCCACGGCUCAACCGUGGAGGGUCAUUGGAAACUGGGGAACUUGAGUGCAGAAGAGGAAAGUGGAAUUCCAAGUGUAGCGGUGAAAUGCGUAGAGAUUUGGAGGAACACCAGUGGCGAAGGCGACUUUCUGGUCUGUAACUGACACUGAGGCGCGAAAGCG
rnacentral:rRNA from 1 species